AUGGGGUACGUGCUGUCGGCGGUGGCGAGGGUGCUGGAGCAGCCGACGGCGUGGGGCGCGGCCUGCGAGAUGGCGCUGCUCGCGGGGCCGCUCUGGGCGGCGGCCCUCGUCGGCCUCCUGCUCGGCUGGGCCUGGCGCCCGCGCUGGGCCGCCGGCAUCGUCGCCCCCGCCGCCGACCCGCCGCAGGUCGCCACGCUCGACUUCUGGAGGGCGCAGCUCCCCGCCCGCAUCCGCGGCCCGCUCGACUACCUCGCCGGCGCGCGGCAGCGGCAGCAGCAGGAGCAGGAGCAGGAGGACGACGAGGCUUCCCUGCAAGGGUCGUCGGAGAUGGCGAACGAGGAGCUGGCGGUGGGGAAGGCUGACCUGGUGAACCUCUGGAGGCUGGUGGAGGGCAACGACGGCGGCCCGGCGUGGAUCAAGAUGAUGGAGAAGGCGCUGCCCAACAUGACCUACCAGGCCUGGAGGAGGGAUCCCCAGAAUGGGCCUCCGCAAUACCAGAGCAGCACAAUCUUUGAGAACGCAACCCCGGAUGAAGUAAGAGACUUUUUUGGAGAUGACGAGUUCCGGAUGUCCAACAAGUGGGAUGAUAUGCUCAUCUCUCACCAGACGCUGGAGGAGUGUCAGACAACCGGGACGAUGAAAGUGCAUUGGGUUCGCAAGUUCCCCUUCUUCUGUAGUGACAGGGAGUACAUCAUUGGUCGCCGGAUAUGGAAACUGGGAAGCGCGUACUAUUGUGUUACAAAGGGUGUGCCAUGUUCAUCCAUCCCGCGGCGCAGCAAACCUCGCAGAGUAGAUUUGUAUUACUCAAGCUGGUGCAUCCGUGCAGUGGAGUCAAGACGAGGGAACGGUGGAUCGACUGCCUGCGAGAUCCUCUUGUUCCACCAUGAGGAUAUGGGCAUCCCCUAUGAGCUUGCAAAGAUUGGCAUUCGGCAGGGCAUGUGGGGAUGUGUGAAGAGAAUCGAACCUGGACUCCGUGCCUAUCAGAAAGCCAGGGCUGCUGGGGAGCCACCUUCGCCGAGUGCCUUGAUGGCACGGAUCAACACCAAGGUCGGCGACAAUUUUGUCCGAGGAAUGGAGUCAAACAGUGACCAAUCAGACAUCAUGGAAGCCGAAGAGAAACCUGUGAAAAACCGGAUGGCGAGGUUCCUUGUGCUCGGCGGGGCUGUGGCUUUAGCCUGUACUCUCGACCAAGGGCUCCUGACAAAGGCUCUCAUCUUUGGCGUUGCACGGAAGUUUGUGGGGCAGAGGAAUACAUUGUAG
rnacentral:rRNA from 1 species